GGAAAACCAAACAUCAUGGCAUUUCACUGACUCCUUUUCCUUUCUUGUACUCAACCGUCAGAAUUCUGCCUUUUUAAUCUCCGAACCACUCUUAUCUGUCUCCAUAAUUCUCAUCGCUCAUAAACUCUCUUCAGAAAUCCUUCAAACUCUUUCCCAACAAUUUCUCCCAUGGCUAAACGCUCAAAAACCCCUUCUACGUCCUUUAGCAAAGUACUCGUUCCACAGGAAAACCCUCUUCUCAGCCUCCAGAACUAGUAGACCUAGGGUCUGACCACUCAGAAGGGUUUGCCUCUUCUCAGGCAUAACUUUCAGAUCACUCUCAUCACAUAGGAGAAAAAGCCCUAGGAAAAAGGCCCAUGGAAGACCCCAUGAAUCUCUUACCCCAAGAAAUUCAAAAUAGACCUUUCAAGCUCUCUAGAGCCAGACCUACAUUUUGGAUACCCAAAACAGGUAUUUAUUCGUUGCUCUGAAAGCAAAACCCAUUGCUCAUGGCAGAGUAGUCGACCUUGACGAUAUGGAAGUCCUCAAUUAUAAGGUAAAAUAACUAUUUAUCGUUCAAGGAUGGUCAAAAUUCCUCUUUUUAACCCCUCCUAAAGUUUAUGAACCCAUAGUGAGAAUAUUUUAUGCUAAUAUUCCCUCUAGCAAGCCUGAUAAGUUAGAAUCUCCAGUUUUAGGUAAACACAUUGUUCUUGAUUGUGCCAUGUUCGGCUCAAUAUUUCAAUAUAAGUGAUUUGGUUUUCCCAUGCUUUUCAAAAAUACUUGGCUUGAGAACUUUGAAAUUUCUUUUGAUCAAGUAAAAUUUUGUAUUGUUGAGUGUCCAUAUGAUUUUCUCCCUAACCAGUUAGGUGGUAGUGAUGUUAUCUUUGAAACCCGAGUUCUAGCCCACAUUGUUUCAACCACUCUUCUUCCUCGCACUAGAUCAUUCUCCACCUUUUCUCAACGAGGUACCUUUCUUAUUUAAUUUCUUGUGACCAAAUUCAAUAUUAAGCUAUUCUCUUGUGUCAUAAAUUUCAUGAUAGAAAGUGUUGAUGAUCCCACCAGUUGGCCCUAUGGUAUGGCUAUCACUCACAUCUUGGAAGAGAUCUCUAUCUAGAAAUACCAUUCUGUCUCUAUUUUAAUAUCUAACAAUUCUAUAGCAUUUGUUAAUAUGGAUUAUGUGUGUGUAAAUUGUUCAAGGGUGAAGAAACAUGAUGGUGAAGUCAAGAAUGUUCAACCUGAUUCUAAAACCAAAGCCUCUUCUUCCCACCACAGUAUAAGUGGUCCUAAUCUCUCUGAGAAACUUACUGCCAUUGACAAAAAACUGACCAUCAUCCACGAUCUUUUUGCAGCCACUCAGUCCACUGUUGGAGAUAUCCAAACAAUCUCCACGGAGACAGGGGCGGAUGUUCAAAGAUGAGGGUCAAAAUUCUCAGACUGGAGAUAAUUCAAUUAAGUGCAUAACAGGAUUGAUGGUGUCACUAUUUCAGCCAAUGCUAGCUUUGAUUGACUAAAGGAGGCGAUUUGCAACUCGUACUUAUUUCUUGCAUCACUAGCUAUAGAAAUCACAAAUAAUACUUUUGUGUUUUGUUGUUUUGGAUUGGGUAAGCAGUCACUGGAUUAUUUUCUAUUUUUUUGCUAUAAAUAUGGAUGCCUAUAAUGAUAGCUUUAGCAUCUAUAAUACUUUCUUUGCUUGUUUUAGUUUUUGUUAAUCUCGUCUUUGCUGAUGUCAAAAAGGGGGAGAAAGAAUUUUAUACAUUGAAGGUAUAGGAAGCACAUUGCAGGAGUCGACUGAAGGAAAGAUGAAAGUAUGCAGGACUUGUUUAGGGGGUGUCAACUGAAUAAUGCACACUCAUUGAGGGGGACCCGAUCACACUCAUUGAGGGGGAGUUAACUACAAGAACUACAAGGAAGUCAACUUUUAUUUAUUAUAUACUAAUUUUAUCAUCAUAAAAAAUGGGAGAUGUUAAUUAUAAGUUUCAGUGAAGAAAAAUAAUAUAUUAUAUUUGGUGUGGUGUCUCAAUGAAUACAUUAAAGAGAUUCAAGAAACAAUAAUGGUCAGAAGUAGAUCAAAGGAAAGAAUAAAUGACUAGCAAUGCAAAAGGAAGAAGAAACAAUGAUCAACAACGCAAAAGGAAGAAGUAGAGGAGAUCUGGCAAGAACAUUCAAUUAGAGAUUCACGGAAGCUAACAAGGAAUGGAAUCAAUAACGAAAAAAGACGAAACAACAAAAUUUUGGCAAGGAUAAUCAGUAAGAGACUUAUGGAAGCUAUUACUAGAAGAUCCCAAAUCAAAGGAAACUGCAAUCAUUGGAAAUCAUUCAAGGGAUUUAGUGGAUAUGACUUAAGUAUCGCAGAGAUUUACCCAACCAAUGGAAACUCGUCAAGAUCAUAAAUCAAGAAAGAUUAACAAGAACUUGACCUUAUUCUUGUAAAGAAUCAAUGUAUAAUUCCUUUCAAGGAUAAGCUCUCUUGGGUUUGCAAUGUCUCAAAAUUCUUGAAGGCCUCAUGGAAUGUAUAUUUACAGAUGUUCCGGGCGUGAAAAGAAAAUAUACUUUGAUCGAACCAUCUAACAUCUUUUUGUUCUACUCCAAACACGCAUUGUAG
rnacentral:lncRNA from 1 species